UCUCUUUACUGUUACAACUUCAUUCUGCUGAGAAUUGGUUAAUUCUUGGUGGUUUUUUUUAUAUGCAUUACUAACAGGUAAUUUUGCUCAUAUAAUUCUGAAAGAAACUGGUUUGUGUGGGGGCUUACCCUCCCUUUGCUCUGUGUUAUAUACUGAAGCAUUCCAUGUAAUUGUGCAAAGCAUUUCACAAAAUGUCUUCAAGAAUGGGAUGCCUUGUGGUCACCAGUUUCUGUGACAGUUUUCAUAUAUGGUUGGAAAUCUGAACCUUAUCUUCUUCUUUACCAUACUGUCACAAGCCUUCUAAAAAUCUAUUCUAUUAUGCAUUUAUGCCUCCUUUAGCAUUCCUUGUUGUGGAAUUCAACUUUGUCAAUAAAAAUUUAAGCAAGCUUCCCUUGGCUUUAACAGUAUUUCUCUUUAAGUCAUGGUAUUAUAUUAAAUCACUAUGGUGAAGUUGGUAUCAGGUCAUCGAGAAAGCAAAGCCUGAUCAGUUAAGAUAUGUAAAAUUUUAAAUUAUUUCCCAUAUGGAAUGUGGUAAUAUCAUGGCAUAGCAUGAUGGAGUUGAGACCAUAACUAGGUUUCAUGAGUGCUUGCUUAGCAGCUUUGACAGGCUUCUGCCUGACUUCACAAUUGGUCAGAAUGCCAAAGAAGACUGACUACAAGAUUCAUGAGGAGCAGCUUUGAAUUGAAAUGGUGAUUACCAACUCUCCAUUGAAGUUGGGACAGCCUCUUCUCGAGCCCACACUGCACUUUUCCAGCCUACUGAGCACCACAAACAGGGAGGCGAAAUCAUGAACUGUGAAACUUGAACAGGCAAUCUUCCUGCCAAAGACGUAUACAUGGUACGCAUGCUCCUUUGUGGUUUCAGGUGUGGGGUCGGUGGGACAAACGUUUGGUCAAAAGCCUUGUACUAAUUUACGCUAAUGUGGCGGAAAGGAAAAACAAAAUUGAAAAAGCUUUUGUUUUCUACAACGGUUCCUGUGAAAGAAAAGGUGCUAUACACUACUUCCAGCUAGCAAUCUAUGAGACUAUGAUGGAGAGGUAAAUCACAUUACGAAGAACCUAUGCAAUGAGGUGUUGGGGAAGAAACAUUCAUGCAUUAUUGUUUAUAGUGCAUGUGAGACAGACACAUAAGCAAUAAUUAACACAUUUGUAAGUAAUUUAAGUAUUUAAGUCAUGACUGAAAUGGGGGAGCCACCUGAAAGAUUUAUUGAGUGACAUUUCCAUGGCACAGUGCAGAAUGCUGCAUUUGUGCAGAGAGUACAGGCAAGCUGGCUAAGGCCAUGGUUGUAACGCAUUGCAUGUUUUGGAAAAAACAAAAUGUGAACAAUCAUUCAAAAUACAACUUGGGCCUUAAUUGUGCUGGCCAUUCACAACAUGAGUCC